GUUUUAAUGCUCCAGUCUUCCCAUAUCCACACCUUUGCUUCCUUUACAGUGAACUGCACUAGUAGCAGCAGCAGCAGCAGCAGCAGAGGCAGCAACAGCUACAGCAGCAGCAGAAGCAGCAG
ensembl:miRNA Gm44348 predicted gene, 44348